CAAUGGAGGGUCUAAUUCAAAAGGGGUUUUGAUUGGUGGAGAUUGUUCUGAGAUGUUAGGGUUUUUUAGAGUGAUUGCUUNAUUGUAGAAGGNAACGAUUGAUCAUGCUUGUUCAAGAUGUUGGGAUAGUGGGAGGGAAGUGUUCUCUGCAUUUGAAUUUGGGAUUUUAGAGAUUGAAGUAGGUUUGUGCUUGUAAGAGAAUGAUUGGGGAAGAAAGUUUCUGAGAGAUGUGAAGGAAAUGAUGCCAGAAAAACGAGCUGUGAGAGUGCGAGAAAUCUGUUGUUUGGGG
rnacentral:lncRNA from 1 species